GAAUUAUUUUAUGUAGCCCGUGCAAAGAAUGUGGGGCAGUACUCAUAGCCAGCAUUAUCUCAGAUUACAUCUUAAAGAUGUGGCACAAGAAAUACCUGUGUGUGGCAUGCAGAGCAGUUGCUGCAAGGAGGAAGAUGAAGAUAAGAAUCUAUUUGAGAAUUCAGAGUUAUAGAAGUAAUGGUAUCCCACACAAGAUCUGCAGAUGGAGAUUCUGUCAGGUCUGCAAUCUGCUACAAAUUGAUUCUGAAAAGAAGAUGCUGGUUUCUAGUAAGCAUGUCACCAAGGUGAAUAUUUGCUCCAGAAAAAUCCUGAGGACUUUGAACUGUGUUUGCCUAGCAUUACAGAUCCAUGGAAUAAAGGGGAAAAAGAAACUUGUGGGCAUGAAAAUGAACCUUCUGUUUAUGAUCUUUUGCUAGAUUUCAUCCUCUAAAUAUCAGAUACUUUAUUUUUACUUCACUA
rnacentral:lncRNA from 1 species